rnacentral:rRNA from 1 species
UACGUAGGGUGCGAGCGUUGUCCGGAAUUAUUGGGCGUAAAGAGCUCGUAGGCGGUGUGUCGCGUCGGUCGUGAAAACCUGCAGCUUAACUGUGGGCUUGCGGUCGAUACGGGCAUCACUGGAGUUCGGCAGGGGAGACUGGAAUUCCUGGUGUAGCGGUGAAAUGCGCAGAUAUCAGGAGGAACACCGGUGGCGAAGGCGGGUCUCUGGGCCGAUACUGACGCUGAGGAGCGAAAGCGUGGGGAGCGAACAGG